CACAGCUUGUGAACUCGAAGAGUAGGGCGGGACACGUGGUAUCCUGUCUGAAUAUGGGGGGACCAUCCUCCAAGGCUAAAUACUCCUGACUGACCGAUAGUGAACCAGUACCGUGAGGGAAAGGCGAAAAGAACCCCGGCGAGGGGAGUGAAAAAGAACCUGAAACCGUGUACGUACAAGCAGUGGGAGCACCUUCGGGUGUGACUGCGUACCUUUUGUAUAAUGGGUCAGCGACUUAUAUUCUGUAGCAAGGUUAACCGUAUAGGGGAGCCGCAGGGAAACCGAGUCUUAACUGGGCGUUAAGUUGCAGGGUAUAGACCCGAAACCCGGUGAUCUAGCCAUGGGCAGGUUGAAGGUUGGGUA
rnacentral:rRNA from 1 species